GGCCCCGCCUGCCCAGUGACUUAGUGUUCAACGGCCGCGGUAUAACUGACCGUGCGAAGGUAGCGCAAUAACUUGUCCCUUAAAUGGGGACUGGUAUGAAUGGCAUCACGAGGGCUUAUCUGUCUCCUUUUCCCAGUCAAUGAAAUUGAUCUCCCCGUGCAAAAGCGGGGAUAAGUACAUAAGACGAGAAGACCCUGUGGAGCUUUAGACACCAAGACAGAUCUUGUAAAAUAUACCCUAUUAAAGGCUAAAACCAACUAGAUAUAAACCUGCUCUGAUGUCUUUGGUUGGGGCGACCGCGGAGAAGAGAAAAACCUCCCCGCAUGGACCGGGAGCACUAAAUUAGCCUCCUACAAUUAAGAGUCACAACUCGAAACAAAAGAACUUUCUUACCACCAUGAUCCGGAAAUAACCGAUUAAUGAACCGAGUUACCCCAGGGAUAACAGCGCAAUCCCCUUUUAGAGCCCAUAUCGACAAGGGGGUUUACGACCUCGAUGUUGGAUCAGGACAUCCUAACGGUGCAGCCGCUAUUAAGGGUUCGUUUGUUCAACGAUUAAAGUCCUACGUGAUC
rnacentral:rRNA from 1 species